CUUGGGCCCUGUAGUGAUCCGCUUAGCUCCCCUGGCACAGAGAUCUGUCAGGCGGCGAAAUGCUUCGAGUUGACCACCCGGGAGGAAGUCCGGGCCAACGAGAAUGCCAGGCAGAAAUGGUUCAGGGUAGGAAAUCGAGAUCUAAAGCGCUCAUUAAUAUUCCACAACAACAACAGUAGUCCGGUCAAGGAAGCCAUUUUGACCAAGGGCACUACUGUGAAUAGAUCAUUUCUCACAGGACAAAGUGGGUACACAAACUCCACACUCUAUUAAGGGAAAAGAAAAAUAGCCCUGCUAUCCGGAGAAAGAUUUGGAUUACAUUUGAUUGUUUCCGAGGCAGAGUUCAAACGGUUAAAAUGGAUCACAGGAUCAAUAUGAUCAAACAAAGACAUUUCAUACUAAAACAGAAAAGGAGAGUCAAAGGAAAAAGGAAGUUAUUUUCUCAGCUGCAAAAGUGUGAACAGGAGACACAGCGGAGCCAUUUCUGCUCAACAGAAAUGCACUGAACAUGGAGAAAUAAAUACAUUUGUAAAUAAUUUUUGUAAAUAAAUAAAAAUUGUUUGCU